rnacentral:lncRNA from 10 species
CGCGUUCACGUCCCCGAUCGGGCCGUGUCCGCCGCGGCCCUGCGAGGUCCGAGGGGCAAUAGCCCUCUGGAACAAGACAAUUCAUGUGAGAUAAGAAAGAAGAGCCCACAAGACCAAGGAUGUAUUCUCAGUUUACAGACCACUGACCAGAGGCCACUCCAGGGUGUCAGGACUAAGAGAAGUCACAAAACAGCAGAUUUCCCAAGAGCAGCGGAAAAUGAUCCAGUCACAGGACCUAAGUGUGAAACAGGCUACCUCAUCAUGGACCCCAAUAGGUCAGACUUUGACGGGCCGUGACAAUAACCAGGUAAAUCGUCUGAGGCAACAGCAGACCAUGGCUAUGACGCCACUCCAAGCAGGAUGGUCGGGCCCGGAGGACUGAACAUGGCCUCAGCAGUCACCUCGGCAGUUGCCAUGCCAGGAAAGACGCCCCACAGCCCACUGGAGAGACAGAAGAAUCUGUGUGAAUCUUCUUUACCUGGCCUGAGGCAUCAAUUCAGGCACAGCAGAACACUGGCCAGGAAACUGAACGUGACCUGAAUGUCUUCCAGGCUGAGACAGGUCCUGAGUGCAAUCCCAGAGGGCACACGUGGUCCCCUAGAAACAACGAAUUCACAAGGUCAGGUGCCCCAGCCGGGCACGCACGCCUCAGGUUGUGAGGUUAACAGGGAUCCAAGGUGGCUUCCCAUCGUCGGGCCUCUGUCCAGUCUGGAUCAUUGGGUUUAGGCCUUGACUUCAGAGGGCCUGCCUGGGACUGAGUUCCAAACCAUUCUGUUUAUCCAUGACAUGAGUUUGUUAGUCCCACCUUAUCAAGUGUGGACAGUCUCUGGAGGAGUUCUGCACAGAGCCCAGGAGCCAAGGCAGUCCUCUGCCUCUCCUCGUCAGCACCGUGAGGAAGCCGAGGUGUGGGCUCAGCAGACGGUCCAAGUCCACAGCCGCCACAGUCCAUGGAAAGGCAGCAAGAGGACCUCUUGUGUUUGGUUUUUUAGGAGGAGGAGAAAGCUUUUAGGAGCAGGUCUGAAAAAUAAAGAUCAUUAUUAUUUUUUCCCUUUCCCUGAGCCUCCCAGAUGCCAGUUUUGUUUUGUUUUUCUGUUACCUGUGUGUCCCAUGUAGUAAUCAAAACUUAAGAACAAAAUGUCUCCUGUUUU